UUGUUUUGUUUUCUUCUCUGUUAGAUAUCACACAUCAUCAGAGAGAUACGCCAGUUCCAGCAGACUUCCUACAGAAUAGAUCAUCAACCAAAGGUUACACAGUACUUGCUUGACAAAGACCUUAUCAUAGAUGAAGAUACGCUAUAUGAGCUGUCACUAAAAAUUGAACCUCGACUCCCUGCUUGAAGAUCUGGCCUUGCCCCUGAGUCCACGGGAUUUUCAUGGAAAGCAGGACAGACAGAAUUAUGUAUGCCAUGCCUCACACGGUACAGCACGAAGCCAGUCUCCUUUCUCCACCAAAGAAGAUGGAACCAGACUGGAAUUCUGUCUCCGUUAGAGAGAAACCCAGCUGUUUGGGUCCAAGACAGAGGCUUCAGACUUGGGUGGAAAGGUGAAAAGUGGCUGUGUAGAAAGCUGAUGGCGCGUUUUACUUAAGGGAAUGUCAGAUGGGAGAUGCUAGUUGCCAUUUUAACAAAGCAGGUAAAUCGAUAGAUUUUAAACUCUGUCCGUGUUCUGUUAGAACUCAGGGACAAGGAUCCAUGAAAAGGACCUGUGAUGUUUCUCUGGCGCUUUACUGGCUUGGACACACCUACCAAUCUUCUGGGAUUUGACUGGUUCCAUUACACUUCCUUUUGGUAUAAGCUUCACAGAAAAGCUGACACUUCCUCUGCAGAGAGGGACGAACACAUAAGCAAUUUCAGUCUACAGCAUGCGCAUGGUUUUCAGUGCAUUAUAAAUAUUUAUAUAUGAGGAAUGGUACCUUCUGAAACUGCCUCUCCAGUCUUUAGGCAACAGGAUAGGAAAGACAGGAUGAAAGACAAAUGGAUGUGUAUGUAACAUUUCCUUAAGGAAAUGCAGUAGGCUGUACCCCAGAGGAUUCCAGACAGUGGCUGGCUGAGGUGGGUGGGGAGCUUUUCCUUGAGACUGUUGGUCGUAAGAAGCCAACCCCCUUGGAGAGGCACUGCAGUUGGCAAAAACAUACACACCCGUCUCAACAGCAAAACUGUGGAACAGGCAGAAGGCCACCAAGUGCUGUGGGCAAUCAUGGGUUUCAGUGCUAAGUGAAAAUCUAUACCUAAAAAUCAUCUCUGCGCCUUGCUUUGCUUGUUUUCUUUCCCCGCUCUUAGUACUGCAGGAAUCUAUUCUCAUUUAUGCAGACCUUUUUUAGGCUUACUAUGAACAUUGGCUGUAUUUUUUUUAAAACAGUUUGUGAAAUUUUCCUUUCAAAACCCACACUUCCAUCUGCUGCUGGUAGAUAUCUUUCUUUAAAAAAUGAUGUUGAGGGACCUCUGAGUGAUAAUAUUGUAAGAGCAUGGGAAAUGGGCCCAACCACCGAACAGCUCUUAUAUUACAAAACCAAAUGCGGGCGUUAGUCCUGCUACCUGAGGCUGGGGAAUUGACCUUACUUUUCCCAAGAUUGUCAGUUGUUGAAGAAAUAGGGCUAUCUCAUUGUUUACCUCCCUCUUCUCUUCUCAGGGAGACUGCUGCUUUAAAAGAAGGAAGAGAAAAAAUAUAGUUCUAUUUCCCUGAACCUAUCGCACCUGACGUUUUCUCUUAGCGGCAUGAAACUUAUUGAUGCUGACAAUGAAAAAUCGAUCUGUCUGGCUGUUUUCCCUCUUUCCUUGCACUUUAAUUAUGUUGCUAGAGCUAACAGCUGACUAAUAAAUUCCACCUGCUGGCUCCUAAGACCCAGUGGAAGAGCUAGCAUGGGUAAUAUACCACAGAGGUAGAGAAUGUACAUCUUCUGCAUGGUAAGCGCCAUCUCUGUACAUAACUAUAUAGCAAAAUGUCAACUAAGUAAAAGAAAAUAUUUAUAAUAUUUGAAGACCAUUCCAAAAAUAUUUUUAAUAGUUCAUAUUAGCCAACAGUGUAGCACUCAACCCAAGGAGGGUUCCUUAUGGAUGCUUUCUUUUUCUUUUUUCUUUUUUUAAAGUUGCUUGUUUGUUCUCUUUAGUUUCAAAUAAGAGGUUGACACAUCUUGAUGCAUGAUGAGAAGCAUGGGCUGUUUGGAUCCUAACAACGCGUAACUUGUGAUUUAUUUCUCAGUGCUCAGAAACUGAGGGUUUGACAUAAUAUGUAUCAGUUGCACCAAACACCUCAAGGUCUUGCAGAAGAAAAGUAAAGGUUAGUUUUCUUGGCUCAAAUGUGAAGUCCUGAAAGGUGAACUAAAACCAGGACAAAUCUGUGAGAAGCCCACACACAUAUUAGUUUCACGCCAAACAACACGUGGAAAGGUCGAUGCGUUCUACUCUGCCUUGGAGUUGCCAGAGUCCUUCAGAGGGAAAGGGAUGGUUCUGCGUGUGCUUUCCCUGAAAGUUUGGACUCAUUUCUUUGACCCAAAUGUUCCAGAGACACUGCAGCCAUUCUUGUCAAAGCAAAAUAAGAUAGGAGUUUCCAAAUGCUCCUUCCCUUUGGGACCACAGCUUUUCUUCAACUAGUGACAAAGCUUUUGCACCUGUGUCCUGCAGGAUGUUGGAACUGUGUCGCGGUGGUCAUAUUAGGCACUGUCAAUUGCUAUGCUGCCUUUUAGGGAGUUUUUGUUUCUUUGAAAAACAGGGUCUCACUAUGUUGCUCAGGCUGGCCUCGAGCUUCUGGACUCAAGCAAUCUUCCUGCCUCGGCCUCUCAAGUAGCUGGGACUGCAGGGGCGCGCCACUCGCCAGCCCUUUGCAUUUUCGUUUGAGAAUUACACCACUUCCUGGAGUCUGCCGCCUUCCUGGAGCUGCAAGAGAGCAAGAGAGAUCGUUCCACCUCUGAGGGGGUGACUUUUGAUGACCUGCACUGUUCUUGGGCCAGCUGGGAUAGGAAUGCACAUUUUUAAAUACCUUCAAUUUGGUCAAAUUAAAAAUCCCCAAGAGCAAUUUGCAGUGUGUUUUCCUGAUCGUUAAAGUAGCCAUCCCCUUCUGCCUACACACAAAGCAUGUAUUCCCAGCUGCGUCUGCCUCUAUUCCAUUAUGGAGACCCAUUUCGAAGAGGAGAUGGGAGCUCAGCCUCUAACAGCCAAGUAGCGAACAUGUAUACCCUAAAAUUAACCUAGAAAAUUCGAAGUAGAAUCCAAUUUGAUGCUUUCGAAAGACUGCCCACAUUUUGUACUGUCAACGGAAUUAUCUUGGGGCUUUUAGGGGAUGCCUUUGGUUAUUAACUAAGACAUGUAGUUUUGCUACAGGGACAAAUCUCUUAUCUAAUCUAAUGCAUUAUUUGACAGAUUCAGGCAUAAAGUGAAACGUUGUCACUUUUCCUUAGUGUUUUUCUGAAGGAAUUUAAAAAGGGAAUUUUAAAUGGCCGUUGCAAUAUUUUCAAGUGGCUCUCACACAAAGUCCCAUUACUGUUUGUUAAAUUUCAGUACGUCUUAAAGUACUGCUUAUAAACAAAUGAAACUCAGAGAAACUGAAUCACUUGGAAGAGAAAAAUCCAUUAUGGUCCCACGUGGAUCGAAUAAUGAUGGAUCAGCGCCCUUUCUCUCAUAUUAUUGUAUCAGACGAGACCUUGGCCCAGCAGCGAUUAGGCAGCUUUUAAAUUCUUAACUAAAAAGAAUAAUGCAAUACAGACAUUAUUCCCAAUAAAAUUAAUUUUGAUUUAAAAGCCAGACAUUUUACUUAGCUUUUUUUUUUUCAAAGUUUGAUAUUAUCCCCUUAAAAAAAAGUCUUCACUUUAAAGUAUAAAGGUUUUAAAAACUGCAACUGCAAAAUGUAUUAUUUUCACUACUAUUGAAAUGGCAUAAAAGAACAUACUAUUUAUGGCUGAAGGACAUAGCCAGGCUAAUGUCCACAGCCAGAGGGAAUUAAUGAAUAAAAGUCAUUUUCAUUUCAGUAAGAAAUCAGAUUGUAAGUUUAAAUAGUGACUCAAUUAUAGACACCACUAUGUAAUUCCUGGGAAGAGGACUUGAGUCAAUGAAAUCUAAUCAGUGUGUCAUUUCUCAGCAGCCAGUGGUGACUUAAAAUUAAGACGAGGCAGAACCAAAAUGGGAAACAGUCAUUUUGUUGUAGGUAUAAACACAUGAAUGAUUGAGAAAAUUAUUCAUCUCAGCUGCCAUGCAGCAUGACACUAACAUUAGAACUGAUUGUACUUCAUCUGCUCUGCUCAAGGAAAAGAAUAGUUCUAUUAUACUUAAUGAUGUUGUUUUUUACACAACACAUUUCAUUUUUCAUUAGAAAGCCAGUUAUGAAAGAGAGCUGGCCUAGGCAUCCCAGCCCUGAGUCUUAGGCCCAGUCUCCCCCUGGAAAACCUUAGGCUGGUGUUUACACAUCUCUGAGCCUCAGUUUCCUCAUCUGCAAAAUGGUGUGAAUGAAUAGUAAUCCCUGUGCUGCUUACCUCACGGGGCUAUUGUGAGGACCAAAUGGAUUAGACUGUAAACUGUAAAGUGCUGUCCACAUGUGAGGUAAUCUGAUUACUAUCCUCAGCUCUCUUUUGUAGAGGAUUUCAAUGUAUUUCUUUAUCAUUUGAGUAUGUGUGCCAUGGACAAAUAUGUGUAUUAGUUUGAGAAGCAUAUCAUUCGUGUCCAGUUACUUUGCAAAUCUGUGGGCCUUUGGGAUUGGACAGAGGGGUUUGUGCUGUGGCCUAACACUUGCCAGGGGAGGUGUAGGUUGUGCCUAUAUGCAAAUUAAACUUCACGUUUCUUGAAUAUUCA